CCCUCCCGCGUAGCAUUGGAGGGCAGUCUGGUGCCAGCAGCCGCGGUAAUUUCCAGCUUCCAAUAGCGUAUAUUAAACUUGUUGCAGUUAAAAAGCUCGUAGUUGUAUUUUUGCUUGGCGGUUUGUUGCCUUUGUGGCUUGAUUCCGCUUGGCUUUGGCAUUUUUGCCUUAUUACUUUGAGAAAAUUAGAGUGUUUCAAGCAGACUUUUGUCUUGAAUACUGUAGCAUGGAAUAAUAGAGUAGGACUUUGGUUCUAUUUUGUUGGUUUGGGAACCUUCGGUAAUGGUUAAUAGGAACGGUUGGGGGCAUUCGUAUUUAACUGUCAGAGGUGAAAUUCUUAGAUUUGUUAAAGACGAACUACUGCGAAAGCAUUUGCCAAGGACGUUUCCAUUAAUCAAGAACGAAAGUUAGGGGAUCGAAGACGAUCAGAUACCGUCGUAGUCCUAACCAUAAACUAUGCCGACUAGUGAUUGGAGGUCGUCGUUUGUUUGACCCCUUCAGGAGCUUGAGAGAACAAGAUUUUCUUUUUUGGA
rnacentral:rRNA from 1 species